GGGUUGUGAGGUUAAGCGACUAAGCGUACACGGUGGAUGCCCUGGCAGUCAGAGGCGAUGAAGGGCGUGCUAAUCUGCGAUAAGCGCCGGUAAGGUGAUAUGAACCGCAAUAACCGGCGAUACCCGAAUGGGGAAACCCAGUGUGAUUCGUCACACUAUCAUGCAGUGAAUACAUAGCUGUAUGAGGCGAACCGGGGGAACUGAAACAUCUAAGUACCCCGAGGAAAAGAAAUCAACCGAGAU
rnacentral:rRNA from 1 species